UGGGGAAUCUUGCACAAUGGGCGCAAGCCUGAUGCAGCCAUGCCGCGUGUAUGAAGAAGGCCUUCGGGUUGUAAAGUACUUUCAGUCGGGAGGAAGGUGGUAAGGUUAAUAACCUUGGCAAUUGACGUUACCGACAGAAGAAGCACCGGCUAACUCCGUGCCAGCAGCCGCGGUAAUACGGAGGGUGCAAGCGUUAAUCGGAAUUACUGGGCGUAAAGCGCACGCAGGCGGUUGAUUGAGUCAGAUGUGAAAUCCCCGGGCUUAACCCGGGAAUUGCAUCUGAUACUGGACAGCUAGAGUAUUGUAGAGGGGGGUAGAAUUCCAGGUAUAGAGGUGAAAUGCGUAGAGAUGUGGAGGAAUACCAGUGGCGAAGGCGGCCCCCUGGACGAAGACUGACGCUCAGGUGCGAAAGCGUGGGGAGCAAACAGG
rnacentral:rRNA from 1 species